rnacentral:tRNA from 1 species
AAGGGAGACCUAAUUCCGGUAGGAGACGAAAAAAAAGUAGUCCCUACCAAGAAUCAAUCCCAAAAGGUCGAAGCGAGGCAAGAUUGGCUUUCAAACUAGGUUCUGGGUUCAAACAAGACCUGAAUCAGGAACAAGGGCUAUUAGCUCAGGUGGUUAGAGCGCACCCCUGAUAAGGGUGAGGUCCCUGGUUCGAGUCCAGGAUGGCCCACCUGCACAGGUGGCAAAAACAAAGAAGCGAGGAAUCAGCACCUUAUCUUACUCAUAUAGUAAGGGAGAAUGCUGGCUCUGAGUAAAGAGUCCAGAGGAACCUUGAAAACUGCAUAGAGCUAGGUGAAAAAGCCAAAAAAGAAGACCGCAA